AUCUGUUCUUAUCAGUUUAAUAUCUGAUAUGUCCUCUAUACGAGGACUACAUAUUAAGCCGAUUUUUAGCUCUGGGAGAUGAAAAGGGGCUUGCUCCGUUCACUCCAAGCAUCGACCCGGUAUUGCAGCACCUCCGGGAACGGUGC
ensembl:snRNA U2 U2 spliceosomal RNA